UACAGAGGGUGCGAGCGUUAAUCGGAGUUACUGGGCGUAAAGGGCGCGUAGGCGGUUAGACAAGUGAGAUGUGAAAGCCCUGGGCUUAACCUAGGAAUGGCAUCUUAAACUGUAUGGCUAGAGUGAAGUAGAGGGUAGUGGAAUUUCCGGUGUAGCGGUGAAAUGCGUAGAGAUCGGAAGGAACACCAGUGGCGAAGGCGACUACCUGGACUUCAACUGACGCUGAGGCGCGAGAGCGUGGGGAGCAAACAGG
rnacentral:rRNA from 1 species